rnacentral:rRNA from 1 species
UACGGAGGGAGCUAGCGUUGUUCGGAAUUACUGGGCGUAGAGCGCGCGUAGGCGGCUUUGUAAGUUAGAGGUGAAAGCCCGGGGCUCAACCCCGGAACUGCCUUUAAAACUGCAUCGCUUGAAUCCGGGAGAGGUGAGUGGAAUUCCGAGUGUAGAGGUGAAAUUCGUAGAUAUUCGGAAGAACACCAGUGGCGAAGGCGGCUCACUGGACCGGCAUUGACGCUGAGGUGCGAAAGCGUGGGGAGCAAACAGG